rnacentral:rRNA from 1 species
CGCGUAGGCGGCGCAACAAAGUCACUUGUGAAAUCUCCGGGCUUAACUCGGAGCGGCCAAGUGAUACUGUCGUGCUAGAGUGCGGAAGGGGCUACUGGAAUUCUCGGUGUAGCGGUGAAAUGCGUAGAUAUCGAGAGGAACACCUGCGGCGAAGGCGGGUAGCUGGGCCGACACUGACGCUGAUGCGCGAAAGCCAGGGGAGCGAACG